rnacentral:rRNA from 1 species
AACGAACGCUGGCGGCAGGCUUAACACAUGCAAGUCGAGCGCCCCGCAAGGGGAGCGGCAGACGGGUGAGUAACGCGUGGGAACGUACCCUUUGCUACGGAAUAGCUCCGGGAAACUGGAAUUAAUACCGUAUGUGCCCUACGGGGGAAAGAUUUAUCGGCGAAGGAUCGGCCCGCGUUGGAUUAGCUAGUUGGUGGGGUAAUGGCCUACCAAGGCGACGAUCCAUAGCUGGUCUGAGAGGAUGAUCAGCCACAUUGGGACUGAGACACGGCCCAAACUCCUACGGGAGGCAGCAGUGGGGAAUCUUGCGCAAUGGGCGAAAGCCUGACGCAGCCAUGCCGCGUGAAUGAUGAAGGUCUUAGGAUUGUAAAAUUCUUUCACCGGGGACGAUAAUGACGGUACCCGGAGAAGAAGCCCCGGCUAACUUCGUGCCAGCAGCCGCCGUAAAAC